rnacentral:rRNA from 1 species
AUGGAGGCAUGCAAGACGGUGUCCGCGUGCACCACGGGGGCGGCUCAAGGCACACAUGUGUUUGAUAUCUUGGGUUACAGCAAGCUGAGGGGCAUGGGAAACGAACCGGAGAGCUUCAUACUGUCCGUCAUUUUCACUGUCGGCGACCACGACUGGGCCAUCCGCUUAUACCCGGAUGGGUUCCAAAAAGAAAGCGAAGUGCAUAAAACAGAGCCUAGGGUUUUCAACUCUGAUGAUACCACUAAGUUUGCUCCACAGACUUCUCAGUUCAAGAGGCAAAGCGACAUCGAGGGAUCCGCGUACCUUAGGGAUGAUCACCUGAAGAUCGAAUGCAUCAUCACUGUCUUCGAGAAGCCAUAUGUUACAGAUACCAAAUUGGGGCUCCGCAAGAUCGACAUGCCACCAUCUGACAUGACUGAACAUGUUGGCAAGCUGUUGGAAGAAAAGGAGGGAUUCGAUGUCAGUUUCAGUGUUGGAGGAGAGACCAUUGAAGCACAUAGGCUCGUUCUUGCUAUGCGGUCACCUGUUCUGAAGGCAGAGCUCUAUGGGCCGAUGCGGGAGGCGAAGCCGAGGCAGUGA